rfam:Rattus norvegicus chromosome 11, whole genome shotgun sequence.
GGGGAUUUAGCUCAGUGGUAGAGCGCUUGCCUAGCAAGCGCAAGGCCCUGGGUUCGGACCUCAGCUCUCCCCA